AGAGUUUGAUCCUGGCUCAGGAUGAACGCUGGCGGCGUGCUUAACACAUGCAAGUCGAACGGAGAUAGCGGAGAGCUUGCUCUCUUCUAUCUUAGUGGCGGACGGGUGAGUAACGCGUGGGUAACCUACCCUGUACAGGGGGAUAACAGUUGGAAACGACUGAUAAAACCGCAUAAAACGGCAGUACCGCAUGGUACAACCGUCAAAUAUUCAUAGGUACAGGAUGGGCCCGCGUCUGAUUAGCUAGUUGGUGGGGCAACGGCCUACCAAGGCGACGAUCAGUAGCCGGCCUGAGAGGGUGAACGGCCACAUUGGGACUGAGACACGGCCCAAACUCCUACGGGAGGCAGCAGUGGGGAAUAUUGCACAAUGGGCGCAAGCCUGAUGCAGCAACGCCGCCGUGAGUGAAGAAGUAUUUCGGUAUGUAAAGCUCUAUCGGCAGGGAAGAAAGGCCCGAAAGGGAGAUGACGGUACCUGACUAAGAAGCCCCGGCUAACUACGUGCCAGCAGCUGC
rnacentral:rRNA from 1 species